UAACUUUUAUAACUUACAUGUUUGCUAUUUAACUUCUUCCAAUCUGUGUUAUUCUGUUAAGGAUAGGACGAUGAUAGGAAAAGUAGGAAACGAAUGGGAGUGUUUCAGGUUUAAUGUGCCUCGAAAAAGUCAAAUCGAUGGUUGUUCCAAUCGAGUGGAAGAGAGAUAUAUGCGGCGCAAGCGUACAAUGAGCGUAACGGGACACAGCGUAACGGGACAAUGUGCGUAACGGGACACUUUUUCGUGCGUGCAGCCGGCGUUCAUCGAUUUAUUAGACGUCACGUCAAAAAAAUCCAACCAGUCCCGAUGCUCGUGAAAGUUAAAACCCUUUCGGUCACUGUGUCCUAUACAGAGGACGAUGUGUUCAUCUUUGUUUAAUAAUUGUAACAAAGGUUGUAUGCCUUCGUAGUCAUAUUGUCCUAUAUCAGGUAAGAUACUUUUUAAUAAGUACAGCUGCUGCACUCUGUAGCUUUACAACCAAAAUGCCAGAAAUUGAUUGAAACAGGUUUGGAAGAGACUCCAAAUUAGGAAACCGACCUGAGAACGCCAUUUUUUUUACAAUAAAUAUAAAUAAAUAAUUUUAUAAAAAAAUAUCUUUUUGAAGAAAACAAUAUAAUGAUAAUACUGUAUUAAGUAAACAAUGUCUACAAUUAGCAGUUCAUAGAUAAAUGUGCUUAUAAAGUACUGUCCUUUGUAUGGGACUGUGUGAGUAGCAUGAGGGAAAUUUUUUAUACUCUUGGGGGGCCUGUAGUGUGGGGAAGUCCUAGUUUGUAUGCAAUUAUGUUCGCUAGCAGCAGGUACGUGUAGCCCAUUUGUUAGCGACUUUGUUCACUUGUGUGAUUCUGAAUGUGAAUGCUACAACAAAGAUGGAUUUUAUAUAUCAGCCAGAUAGUCCAGCAGUGAGACACAAUUGGAAAAGAAUGAGUGCUGAAGAAAUAUUGACACUAAUUGAGAAUGGUGAUUUGUCAGACAUUGAAGAGUUUGGGGAAGAAGAGGCCGACGAAAUAAAUCAGUACCUACAAUACUGAUUUAGCAUCAGAUGUGCCCACAGCACAUUUGAGUGCUGAACCACCAGCAUUAGAGGAAGAUGAAGUUGUUAUGCAAGAAGAACCAGGUAGGCCAGUGCCUAACACUGAUCAGUCAUCCAUACUGGAAAAAAAAUCAGGUGAUCUAGCUAGACCCCUAACUGAAAAACAAUUUCAAAAAGCAUAUUUUGAUGAGCAAUGCCUCACAAAAAAAAAAAAGAUAUAACGUGGUAAAAAAAUGCUACAUAUGAAUCACCACACUAUAAGCCCUUUAUGUCACACAUUGCAGAAAGUUUUUAACUUCCCAGUCCACUGACAUUGUUUCAAGAAUAUUUUACUGAUGAUCUUGUGAAUUUUGCUGUAAAUAACAAAUUUAUAUGCUAUUCAGAAUAAUGUUGUAAAAUUUCCACCAGUAACAGCAGAAUAAAUUCACAAUUUUUUAGGGAUCCAAAUACUAAUGGGAAUUCUAAGCUACCCUAGGGUACGCAUGUAUUUGGAGGCAAGAUUUAGAGUACCACUGAUUUCUGAAAACAUGCCUGUAAACCGUUUCUAUAAAAUAAGGCAAAACUUUCAUGUUACUGACAACUGGAGAAAAGACCCAGAUGAUAAAGAUAGUUUUUGGAAAGUCAGGCCAAUAUUUGAGUCUAUAAGGUCUAGGUGCCUGGAGAGUGACAUUGAAGAAAGGAUCUCAAUUGAUGAACAAAUGGUGCCGUUCAAAGGGACUGAAUGUAAAACAAUUUAUCCGGAACAAACUGACGAGACGGGGAUUUAAAGUAUUUGUUUUGUGUGGGGAGAGCGGGCAAAUGUAUGAUUUUAUAAUCUAUCAAGGCUCUACAACUGAACUAAAGAGACAAUACUUACAGUUUGGUCUUGGCCCUGCUGUUGUCAUGCAGCUCUGUGAAAGAAUUUCAUCACAGAACAGCUUUUUGUUUUUCGAUAAUUUUUUUAGCUCUUAUUGGUUGUUUCAAUGGCUGCAGCAGAGGAACAUACAUGCUGUAGGAACAGUUCGAACCGAACGAUUUUCAAACCCUCCUCUGGAAUCUGAUAAAGAAAUAAAGAAGAAACAAACUCGAGGUUUCAUGCAGGAAACAGUAAGCACUGACAGGAUUUACUAACAAAAUGGUAUGAUAAUUCGUGUGUUGUAGUUGGGUCUAACUUUGUUGGAAUUGGGGGAAAAGAUGUGUGCCGCCAGUGGGAUAAAAAAAACAAAGAGUACAUCCAUGUUCAGAGGCCAGAAUGUGUCAAGUUAUACAGUGCCAGCAUGGGGGGUGUUGAUAAAUAUGAUUUCCUCAUAUCACUUUACAGAACUUUCAUAAGAUCCAAGAAAUAGACUUUAUGACUUCUGACCCAUGCAAUUUGUAAAAUAUAGUCAACAAAAUUUUUGCUGUAUGAAGAUAAAGAUAUUUUUCAUGGAGUCUAGUAAUAAAAUAAUGCAAAAUAAAUUCUAUUUUGAACAUAUUGAAUUUAAAAUUAGUACUAAUGUAACAUCCGUGACAACCGGAAUGGCUGCAUGGCUAUCACAAAUUCGUGGCUCACAUACAGGAAGGUUGCCAGCAGUUUGGGAGUGCCGGAAAAAAAUGUAAUGGAUCUUAUUCAUUUUCGCCAGCAAGUAGGGGAAUCUCUAGUUUUGGCAGGCAAGACAGUAGACAAGAAGGGAGUCGCCCCUCUUCAUCACAGCAAGUCCCUUCAGUCCCAAAGAAAAGGGCUGCUGUUAUAAGGCCCAUCGUUGAUGUCGGAUAUGAUGGCUUCAAACAUUUACCCGAGUUCAGUCAGCAGAAGAAUACUGCCAGGUGCAAGUGUCCUGGCUGUACAAGAAAAACCUUCAUCAGGUGUACGAAGUGCAAUGUUCAUUUGUGCAUAACAUGGGGAAAAAAACUGCUUUAAAUAAUUUCACACAAAUUGAACUAUGAAUGUGUGAGAU